UACGUAGGGGGCUAGCGUUGUCCGGAUUUAUUGGGCGUAAAGAGCGUGUAGGCGGCCAGGUAGGUCUGCUGUGAAAACUCGAGGCUCAACCUCGAGACGUCGGCGGAAACCAUCUGGCUAGAGUCCGGAAGAGGAAAGUGGAAUUCCUGGUGUAGCGGUGAAAUGCGUAGAUAUCAGGAGGAACACCGGUGGUGUAGACGGCUUUCUGGACCGUAACUGACGCUGAGACACGAAAGCGUGGGUAGCAAACAGG
rnacentral:rRNA from 1 species